rnacentral:lncRNA from 1 species
AUCAAACAAUCAGACUCUAGUUCUAAGACUAAUUUGAACUUGAUAAAUAAAGUCAACCUUCUUGCCCAGAAGUUAGAUCAGUUUCUAACCCUAGGUCAACAAUCUCCUAUACAAUACACACACCUCACAAUUAUUAGGAGAUUUAUUCUAUCUGUGCUAGCCCAACCCAUCAUGUAAGUGAAUGUCCCACGGCUGCACAGUUUUCACCUUUCAUCUAAGAAUAAGUUCAAGCUACCCAAGAUUACUUCAAGCCUGUUAAUGACCCAUUUUCAAACACAUAUAACCC